GCAGGGGCGGCCCGCAGCCCCCCAGACGCAGAACUUGUCGGCCUCGGAGCUGCCGCCUGCCUUUGCGGACUCCACGGAACAGGGGAAAACUGGUCGGGGAAGAAACCAACUCCUUUUGCGCCUUCAGAAGGCGAAGCCACCGGGCAGGAACGGCUGCCUCUGCAGAUCCAUGCGGCGAUAGUACAAGGCAGAGGGCGUUGGAUUUGCUGAGCCAUCCGGGGUUGAACAACAAACUCUCCACAGCCAUGCUGCUCAGGGAAACGGCGGGGAUUGUGGGCACGGUCCCUCUGGUUUUCAGACCUGGAGAAAAGAUCUGAAGUAAUUUUAAGUUGAGACUCUAUUCCCAGACCUGUCAACAAUAUAGUAUGAGUCCCAGAACUGAGUACUUUCAUUAUUACUCACCAAACUUUCAAGUGUGUCUGCUGACAUCUCCGUGCUCAGUCUGCUGGACUAUUGAUGUGAGCACUGCUCUGCUCCAAAGAAGCUCUUAGCACGUCCCAGUGGUGUUCAAAAUCUAACCCGAUCUCAAGGGUUCGUGAGGAAACCAAGGAUUGCCCGGCCAGGCUCAAGUCUUCCUCAUCUUUCUUCCUUCGGUCAUCAUUUGAGAAUGGUCACCGUAAGUGGCAUGAUUUGGUAACCGGACGUCCUGAGCACAAAGGUUCUCAAGCCUGAAUAGAUAUCGGAACCACCCACCUGGAGGGUUGGGCACACCGAUUGCCAGCCCUUACCCCAAGUUUCUAACUCAGUAAGUCUCGUGGGCGUGGGGGGCAAGAAUGCCCAUUUCCAGCAUUCUAGGCGGAGUCCCAGGUGAUGCUGACCACUAUGCUGCUUAGUUCAGUCCACUACUUCUUGACCACACCUGAGAGCUAAAGAGAAAGGAGCGACUUAUGCCUGCAGGUGACCUAGGGUAGGGACCCUAGGGCCCCAGGGGCUUCAGACCCAUUAUACAAGGACCCCUCCCUGGGCAGACCUACCUGCAGAUGAGCUCUCAAUCCUGAGGUUCCUGUGGCCAGGGCAGGGGGAAAGGGAGCUGCCGCCUUCCUCCCUCACGUCAGUGCCCAGGCUCCGGGGACCGCAGGUGCCGUGGCCACAGCUUCUGGUUGUCCUCAUUGCAGGAAGAAAAGGGCUCCUUCCCGGAGUUCUCUGCAGUUCGUAGGCUGACGGCUCCCAUGCUGUCUCAGAAGGGAGGGUGACACUCAGUAGGAGGGGAUCUGACACUCUCUACUCGGAAACUCCUGCCUGCAGCAGCGUCUCUGGCCGUGUGUUUGCAUUUUGGGCCUUUCCUCUCUGAUGAUAGAAUGUACGGCUUUGUCUCCCAUUCCCAGCAAAGGAAUUCCAGGCUUUGGGAAGCACGCUGGGAUCCUUUGAUGCGGGCUGGGCCGCUGGCAAAAAAGAACGCGUGUGAAGGAAUGCCGGGUGCAGGGCCAGCUAGGUCCACGGAGUACUUGAGGCCGAUGCCUGUCCUGUCCACGCCCACCUGAGGCCUGUGCCACAUCCCCAACGUGAGAGUCCAGAGCCCACCCCCAGGCCUCUGCCACACCCCCCACGUGAGAGUCCAGAGCCGUUCCCACUGCCUGGCGGUUCACACGUCACGGCCCACGUGUGGUGUGGCUCCCCCGCCUCAAGCUUCCCAUCUCCCUGGAGUUUGCCAGAAGGCUGAGGGAUCUGGGAUGGGUCUGAGUCCCUGCUGGGUCUCUUCCUAUGCUGUGUGAAAAAUGCUCUUUGAGCCUCAAUGUUUUGUUCAUGCAGCACAAGGAGAGCUUAAAAAAUGGGUGCUUCUAUUGUUAUUAUC